GACGAACGCUGGCGGCGUGCUUAACACAUGCAAGUCGAACGGAAAGGCCCUGCUUUUGUGGGGUGCUCGAGUGGCGAACGGGUGAGUAACCCGUGAGUAACCUGCCCUUGACUUUGGGAUAACUUCAGGCAACUGGGGCUAAUACCGGAUAGGAGCUCCUGCUGCAUGGUGGGGGUUGGAAAGUUUCGGCGGUUGGGGAUGGACUCGCGGCUCAUCAGCUUGUUGGUGGGGUAGUGGCUUACCAAGGCUUUGACGGGUAGCCGGCCUGGGAGGGUGGCCUGCCACGUUGGGACUGGAAUACGGCCCAGACUCCUACGGGAGGCAGCAGUGGGGAAUAUUGCACAAUGGGCGGAAGCCUGAUGCAGCAACGCCGCGUGCGGGAUGACGGCCUUCGGGUUGUAAACCGCUUUCGCCUGUGACGAAGCGUGAGUGACGGUAAUGGGUAAAGAAGCACCGGCUAACUACGUG
rnacentral:rRNA from 1 species